UACGGGGGGGGCAAGCGUUGUUCGGAAUUACUGGGCGUAAAGGGCUCGUAGGCGGCCAACUAAGUCAGACGUGAAAUCCCUCGGCUUAACCGGGGAACUGCGUCUGAUACUGGAUGGCUUGAGUUCGGGAGAGGGAUGCGGAAUUCCAGGUGUAGCGGUGAAAUGCGUAGAUAUUGGGAGGAACACCAGUGGCGAAGGCGGCUACCUGGACCGGUUCUGACGCUGAGGCGCGAAAGCGUGGGUAGCAAACAGG
rnacentral:rRNA from 1 species